GGUAAGAGCAUUCCUGCAGGGCUAUGAUGCUGGAUUUUCUGAGCAAAGGGAUGCUGUUGGGAUGUUUCGGUGGGUUGGUGCUGGCAGGCUUGGGCU
ensembl:miRNA gga-mir-1674 gga-mir-1674